rnacentral:rRNA from 1 species
UACGGAGGGUGCAAGCGUUGCUCGGAAUUAUUGGGCGUAAAGGGUAGGUAGGUGGUCUCAUUUGUCUGAGGUGAAAUCCUUGAGCUUAACUCAAGAAGUGCCUCAGAAACGGUGAGACUAGAGUCCUGGAGAGGGUCGUGGAAUUCCCGGUGUAGCGGUGAAAUGCGUAGAGAUCGGGAGGAACACCAGAGGCGAAGGCGGCGACCUGGACAGGCACUGACACUCAACUACGAAAGCGUGGGGAGCAAACAGG